CUAAAUGAUUGAUAAGAUAUAAUGAAAAGAUAUAAGGCGUACUUGGGGGAGAGGAGGGGGAACCGUUCACGCUGAGUUGGAACAAUAGGCAUCAGUUCACAAUGGACAAUGAAUAGAAGAGCUGCGCUGUUUGAGGUUCUGUACACGUUCACAGCAGCCGGGCCAGUGGAGGGCACUAAUAACGGACUUGGACAGAUACUCUGCUCGACUAUGGGAAAACAUAACGCCAGGCCGGAUGCUAACAGAAAUCAGGGAGUCUUCUUUGCUUCCAACUUCGUCGGUCUCAGGAUGCAGUGGACACCUUCCCGACAUCGGCGACCUGGCCGCCGGCGAUCUUCCCAGCACGGAGCUGGAGAUAUCCCACGGUGAGAAGUUUCCAAUUGGAUCGGAAGCAGAAACCUGGCGCUCCGUAGGGCGACACCGGGAUUAAUGCACCGGCUGCAGAGAGGCGCGCCUGCUGUACCCUCGAACGAGAAGAUGCUAGAUCAGGCUUGUAAGGUGAGCUUCAGAAGAGAGACUCUUCUCCCUCAUACUCUGUCUCCCUGGGAGGGCCUCCAUCACUGAUCCCAGAUCAGUGGUCUUAUUUCACCACCCUUACCGAUUUGCUGCGAAGAUCAGAGCUGGCUGCUUCUCCAGUGGAUAAUUAUACUUUUAAAUACAACUAAGAAAACGUUAAUCAGGCAUGUAAGUAAUUGGCACCAUCAUGAAGGAAGAGUUAGUAUCAAAAGAACAUUUACUCUGUUUUCAGGGUUUACUGUUUUACCGCGACAAAUAGGGGCACCUAAGCCACUGGUUUCAUUAUACUCUUCCCACUAUUUGAGCAUUUCUUAAAUUAUCACUCUUCUUUGAGGUGAUAAAAUCUUUGAAAAGAAAUGUGUUUUGACACCAGCCUAUUUUUACACUCUGCCAGAGAAUUUAACACGGUUCCAACUUUGCCGUGAGGUUUAAGCGAUCAGGAUCUACCAGCUUUGUAAUGACAAACCGCAGCUUGAAAGCUCUUUUCUGGAGAGUGGCAGAGAAUGUUAAAGCACAGAUUUAAUUUAUCCCCAGACUACACAGGCAAUGACAACAUCUAACUAGGAGGAUUAAGGGACGGCACAGAGGCGUGCCAGUAUUUAGUUAUAUUAAAAACACCUUCGUUUUCAUGCCGGCAUAUGCAAGGCCAGACCUCUUUAUCUCCCAAGGGGUCCUACAUUUCCUGUACUACAUUCUGUUUCUAGCCAGCAAAGCAGCUAUCCUGAUUCCCUCUAACAAAAUUUGUCGAUUUAACAAUGAAAAUUAUGAGUUUUAUCUUUCAUCUCUUUUAUCUCUGAUGUAAGUCAUGUGUUGUAGUGUUAUAAGCUUAGUAGUACAAACUGCCAUCCUGUCUAUUUAUUGUAGUAA